AGAGUUUGAUUCUGGCUCAGGAUAACGUUGGCUGUGUGCCUAAGGUAUGCAAGUCGAACGAACCCUCGGGUUAGUGGCAAACGGGUGAGUAACACGUGGAUAACCUGCCUUGAAGUCAUGAACAGCUCAUCGAAAGAUGGGAUAAUACAUGAUAUUACAUCUUCUUUAGAUCUUGUAAGUAAAGUUACGGCGCUUCAAGAGGGGUCCGCGUCCUAUCAGCUAGUUGGUGAGGUAAUAGCUCACCAAGGCUAAGACGGGUAGCUGGCGUGAGAGCGCGGUCAGCCACCAUGGAACUGAGACACGGUCCAUACUCCUACGGGAGGCAGCAAUUAGGAAUCUUGCGCAAUGGGGGCAACCCUGACGCAGCGACACAGCGUGGAGGAGGUUCGUUGACUCCUUUUAUAUGGGAUAGAACCAUAUGAAUAAGCACCUGCAACUACGUGCCAGAAGCAUCGGUAAUGCGUAGGGUGCAAACGUUAUCCGGAUUUAUUGGGUGUAUAGAGAGCGUAGGCGUUUUUGUAAGUCUUUAGUUAAAGACCACGGCUCAACCGUGGAAGAGCUUCGGAUACUGCAAAAAUUGAGACAGGAAGAGGCGAACAGAAUUUAGUGGAGCGGUGAAAUGCGUUGAUACUGGGAGGAAUAUCAGUGGCGAAGGCGGUUCGCUUCCUGUCUGACGCUAAGGCUCGAGCGUGGGUAGCAAAACGGAUUAGAUACCCGUGUAGUCCACGCUGUAAACUAUGGAUGCUAGGUGUUCGGUAUAAGUAUUGAGUGCCGCAGUUAACACGUUAAGCAUCCCACCUGGGAAGUACGGCCGCAAGGCUAAAACUCAAAUGAAUUGGCGGGGACCCGCACAAGCGGAGGAGCGCGUGGUUUAAUUCGACGGCAAUCGAAGAACCUUACCAGGGUCAUGAUCGCAUGCCCCCAGAAACGGGGGAUAGUGAUCAGGGUGCUGCAUGGCUGUCGUCAGCUCGUGCUGUGAAGUGUUGGGUUAAGUCCCGCAACGAGCGCAACCCCUGCCGUCUGUUGCCAACUCAGGCGGGACCGCCGGUGCAAACCGGAGGAAGGUGGGGACGACGUCAAGUCAUCAUGGCCCUUAUGUCCUGGGCCACACACGUGCUACAAUGGCCGGUACAGAGCGCAGCGAGGCCGCGAGGCGGAGCGAUCGUUAAAGCCGGUCCCAGUACGGAUUGGAGUCUGCAACCCGACUCCAUGAAGUUGGAAUCGCUAGUAAUCGCGCAUCAGCAUGGCGCGGUGAAUACGUUCCCGGGCCUUGCACACACCCCCGUC
rnacentral:rRNA from 1 species